rnacentral:rRNA from 1 species
GAUUCUGGCUCAGGAUGAACGCUAGCGGCAGGCUUAACACAUGCAAGUCGAGGGGCAGCGGGGAUAGCAAUAUCCGCCGGCGACCGGCGAAAGGGUGCGUAACGCGUGAGCAACCUGCCCGUAUCCGGGGCAUAAGCGGUGGAAACGCCGUCUAAUUUCCCAUAACAACAGAGGCUGCAUGACCUUUGUUUGAAAGAUCCGUCGGAUACGGAUGGGCUCGCGAGACAUUAGCUAGUCGGCGUGGUAACGGCACACCGAGGCGACGAUGUCUAGGGGUUCUGAGAGGAAGGUCCCCCACACUGGAACUGAGACACGGUCCAGACUCCUACGGGAGGCAGCAGUGAGGAAUAUUGGUCAAUGGGCGCAAGCCUGAACCAGCCAUGCCGCGUGAAGGAAAUGAGGCCCUAUGGGUCGUAAACUUCUUUUGUGGUGGAGCAAUAAGGCGUACGUGUACGCCGAUGAGAGUACAUCACGAAUAAGCAUCGGCUAACUCCGUGCCAGCCGCGGC